AUUGAACGCUAGCGGGAUGCUUUACACACGCAAGUCGAACGAGUGGCGGACGGGGGAGUAAUAUAUCGGAACGUGCACAGUAGCGGGGGAUAACUACUCGAAAGAGUGGCUAAUAACGCAUACUAUUGGAGGGGCCGAUAUGGGAAUAGCAAGUUGGGGGGGUAAAGGCCACCAAAGGGAACGAUCCGUAGCUGGUUUGAGAGGACGACCAGCCACACUGGGACUGAGACACGGCCCAGACUCCUACGGGAGGCAGCAGUGGGGAAUUUUGGACAAUGGGGGAAACCCUGAUCCAGCCAUCCCGCGUGUAUGAGAAGGCCUUCGGGUUGUAAAGUACUUUUGGCAGAGAAGCGGUAUCUGCAGAAUAAGCACCGGCUAACUACGUGCCAGCAGCCGCGGUAAUAC
rnacentral:rRNA from 1 species